UACGGGGGAGCAAGCGUUGUUCGGAUUUACUGGCGUAAAGGGCGCGUAGGCGGUCAGCACAAGUCAGUUGUGAAAUCUCCGGGCUUAACUCGGAAAGGUCAACUGAUACUGUGCGACUAGAGUGCAGAAGGGGCAACUGGAAUUCUCGGUGUAGCGGUGAAAUGCGUAGAUAUCGAGAGGAACACCUGCGGCGAAGGCGGGUUGCUGGGCUGACACUGACGCUGAUGCGCGAAAGCCAGGGGAGGCGAACG
rnacentral:rRNA from 1 species